GGUAAUCAAUAUUCAAUUAACAGCUACCAAAACAAAUAAUAUAUAUUUGUAUGGAUUUUCAACUUAUUUUUAUCUUAUUAAAAAAAAAAAAAAAUGAAGGGGUGGCUGUUGGAUGUGGAUGGCAAGCAUUUGUGGCGUAUGUAAAUGUUGGGUGUUAUUACCUGGUUGGAGUCCCAGUAGGGGUUCUUCUUGGCUUCAAGUUCAAUCUGGGUACCAAGGUACCAAUAAUUUUACAUUACUUAACAUUUUAUUGUUUGUUAGAAAUUAAUUAGUUUCUAAUUUGUAGGGAUUAUGGUCUGGAAUGAUUGGAGGCACGUUCCUGCAAACUAUUAUUCUGAUAUGGGUUACAUAUCGAACAAAUUGGAAUCAAGAGGUAAAUUCUAUCUCAUUUCAUAAAUCUAAAAUUUCAAAACAAUAGUUAUAUUUUAAAAAUAGAUAAAUAUUCAUUCUCAUAUUUAUAUUUAUAAUAUAAAUAAAGCACGCUCAACCUUUUUUAUUUAAGUUAUACGGAGACAAUACGAAAGUUUGGAUGUGAUUGUACAUUCCCUGACAUUGAUGUUUGAUUAGGUAGGGAAAGGGUAAUCUAUUAAGCAUAGACUAUUGUCCAUGCCUUCUUUCAAACCUCGUCAUCGCCCAAAAUAAUGGUCGCUCACCAACCCCAAUCUCUCCUCUUUACUCCAUAGCCGUCUUCUUUUUUCCCCGAUGCUCUUUUUAUUUCCUUUCUUCAUGUCUCACUCUCACUGUCUCACAUCUUUAUUUUUUAAUAUAUAAUUUUUGAAAUAAUGGGUAUGUUAUUUUUAAAUUCUAGUCUAUAUUAUUCCAACAGAUUGGAAACUUCAAAUGAAAGUAAAUUUUCCAAAUUUUCAGGUGGAGAAAGCAAAUGAUAGGUUGAAGAAAUGGCAAGACAGAAAGGAGUCCCUUCAGGAGAGCUAGAGUACUAAUAUUCAUUUCUUGUGUAGAGCUGUUUCCAUGAAGAAUUUGUUCAAAAAAUGUGGAAAAAUUCAUUUCAAUUCAUAUUUUUGGAAUAUAUUUUGAAAGGAUAGUUUAUAAUAAAUAUUUAAAAUUUGAAUUCUUAGCAGAAGAAGAGCAGAAGGUUGACAAAGGAUCGUCUUCUUCUUUCUUGAUAGAAAUUAGAAAGUUCGAAUGCUGUAUUGCGACAGACUACAAAUAAUGUUGAUGCGUGUGUUGACUUGUAAAAUAUGGGAUAAGGCCCACUGGCCCACCAUUUGUCGAACCACGCGGCCUGCUAUUUGUUGGUAGGAUCAUAUUUCAGUAGGAUUUCGUGAUCUAAUAAGAAUCCACUCAUUCACUCAUUCAUUUGCUUUUUCUCAAUGGAUGAGUAUUUUGUAGUACUAACUAAAGCCUUGUUAAGUUCAAAAUACUUGACUUUCCGACAACGAAAUUAUUUUCCAGAAGGUAUAAUUUACGUGUGUUUGGUUUGCAAUUCAAUUUCUUAAGAAGCAAAUUAUUCUCAAAUUAUAAAUUACAUUAAUAUUCAUAAUAUAAAUUUGAGUGAAUUUAGAUAAUAUUAUAAAUUGAUAAAUGCACUGCACUUAAUUAGUGAAGUGUAACUUUCCUACCCAUAUUUAAGGAAUUUACUUCUCUUGUGUAAGAAAAGUUUAACGAUCUACUUCUCAGGAAGUAGAAUUGAUAAUACAAACCGAACACAAAUUAUUUUAUACACUUUUCAGAAAGUUGCACUUCCUUAGUUAACUUACUUCCAACUAAACAUCGAGUUCAUGGUAUUAUAUUUUGCAAAAUAUAUAGAAAGCCUAAUGGAUAUGGAAAUAACGAUCGAGAAAAAUCAUGUUACUUACACCAUUAACUUCCGGAUCUUGACCUGACCCAUUUUAAGCGGGAAAUAUUAGGUUUUAAUAAUUUCCAUUAAAAAAAAAUAUUUAGGCAGCAUAAUGCAUGCAUGCAUGUAAUAAAUGUUUUGGCACGUGAAAUUUUCGAUCUUUGCCCUACAAACCUGCACCCAUAUAUAUAAUUUAAUUGAAUUGUGGAAUGAAUUAUAUAAUAUAAAUGGAUUAAAUGAGAACGUAAAGCAAUAAUAAGUAAUUUUUUUUAACAAUCUACAAAGGAGCUCACGCAGUUCUAUUUCACAAAUUAAGAAUAAAUCUCCUACUUAUAAUUGGUUAUAAGGGUCAAUUGUUCUUUUUGGCUAAUACACAUCAAUAAUUGUAACCACACCUACUUUCUUUUAAUUAACCAAUUAAAAGGUUUUUUCCCUUUUAAAUGCACUGCCACUUCAUGGAAUGAAGGACUAAGCUUUGGCUACCUCUCCAGACCUGAGUUAGAGACAGACAACUUAAAAGCAAAGAAAAUGAGUCCUCAAGACUCCGGCCAUGAAGGAGUGAGCUCCGAGCUAGAACAGAUACUAACAGACACCAAUUCGAGCCCUAUUAAGCGCUUCAGAUCAGCUACAUGGGUUGAACUGAAAUUGCUCUUCUAUCUUGCAGCUCCAGCAGUAAUAGUCUAUUUGCUUAAUAGCGUAGUGUCCAUGUCCACUCAGAUCUUCUGUGGCCAUCUCGGUACUCUUCAACUCGCCGCCGUUUCUCUUGGCAACACCGGAAUCCAAGUUUUCGCCUAUGGCCUCAUGGUACGUAUAUAUGUCAACUUAACUCAACCACUAAAUAAAAUUUUAAAUUUAUUGAGUGUAACUUCUUUUUGUUCUUAAAAAAAAAUUGCAGCUUGGAAUGGGAAGUGCAGUCGAAACACUAUGUGGACAGGCAUAUGGAGCGCAUAAAUAUGAAAUGCUUGGAGUAUAUUUGCAAAAAUCAACUGUUCUGUUAAUGGCAACUGGAAUCCCUUUAACGUUGAUCUAUGUGUUUUGCAAGCCAAUUUUGAUUUUAUUCGGUGAACCAAGUGACAUAGCAACAGCAGCAGAACGUUUUGUGUUUGGACUAAUCCCUCAAAUUUUUGCAUAUGCUGCCAAUUUUCCAAUACAAAAAUUCAUGCAAGCACAAAGCAUAAUAGCCCCAAGUGCAUAUAUAUCACUCGCUGGACUUAUAUUGCACUUGUUAUUGACAUGGGUUGCAUUAUACAAGCUUAACUGGGGCUUGCUUGGUGCAGCCUUGGUUUUGAGUUUCUCGUGGUGGUUUAUGGUUUUGGCUCAGUUUGUUUAUAUUGUAACAAGUAAAAGGUGUAAGCACACAUGGAAAGGUUUUAGCUGGCAAGCCUUUACUGGUCUCUGGAGCUUCUUCAAGUUGUCUCUUGCUUCUGCAGUAAUGUUGUGCUUAGAGACUUGGUACUUUGAGGUCUUAGUUCUCAUUGCUGGGCUGCUUAAGAACGCUGAGGUCGCUUUGGAUGCUCUCUCUAUUUGGUAAUUAACUAAACUUUUAUCUCUUUAUUUGAUCUUAUUAUGUUCAUUAAUUUGAGAUUUAAUUCUUCUUGCAGCCUGACCAUAUCUGUAUGGGUAUUCAUGAUUUCUGUUGGGUUCAACGCAGCUGCGAGGUCUGUAUUUGAUUAUGGCCUUAACGAUCAGUUUGGUUUUAAUUAUUAAAUUUUGCGAGUAACCAACAAAUUUUUUGUAUGAUUAACAAGAACAGUGUGAGAGUGAGCAAUGAAUUAGGAGCUGGGCAUCCAAAAUCAGCAGCAUUUUCAGUUAUUGUACUGACUUCAUCUUCUUUUAUAAUUGCCGCGAUCGCGGCCAUUAUUGUUUUGGUGUUCCGUGAUGUUAUUAGCUAUGGUUUCACUGAAGGUGAAGUUGUUGCUAAAGCAGUCUCUGAACUCACUCCCUACUUGGCUAUUACUCUCAUUCUCAACGGUGUUCAACCUGUUUUGUCUGGUAAGAUAUUAAUAUAUUUUUAACUUCUUCUUUCAUUUACACGAGCUAACAAUAAUAUAAUCAAUUCACUCGAAUUGAAUAAUUUUGUUAAGGAAUGUAAAAAUUCAAAUGUAAUAAAUAUUUGAGAAUAGAGGGAGAAUAUCAUAAUUUGUAGCAAUUUAUUAUCAGACAAUAUCUAAUAACUUAUUGAUUUUGAAUGUUUGAAUUGUGAAAGGUGUGGCUGUUGGAUGCGGAUGGCAAGCUUUUGUGGCUUAUGUUAAUGUAGGAUGUUAUUACUUUAUUGGAGUUCCAUUGGGAGCCAUUCUUGGCUUUGUGUUUGACCUAGGUGCCAAGGUAUUAUUAUACUUCCAUUAAUCUUGUUAAUUUAGAUAAUUAAGUGCCUAAAAUUAAGAACCCUAACCCAGCUUUGAAUUUGUUGCAUUUGUAGGGAAUAUGGUCAGGAAUGAUAGGAGGUACUUUCUUGCAGACAAUAAUUCUGCUGUGGGUCACCUACAGAACUGAUUGGGAUAAAGAGGUAAAUAUUGGUAAUUUAGAAAUUGUGAAAUGACCAUAUUUUUGUUUUUAACUAUUUUAAUUUUGAAAUUAUCAGGUGGAAAUUGCCAAAAAUAGACUCAACGCAUGGGAGGAGAAGGAGGAGCCACUUUUGGACAAAUAGUGUUUGAUUUGUAUGUGUAAUGGAGUUCGUUUUUGUGCAUUUUUAAUUUUUUUGAAUGGUCGGCAUAAGCAACUCUUUGUAAUUAAUUUAGUGUAUAAAUGAGUCGAUACAGGAUAUAAAUAAGUCUUUUCUUGAAUGAACUUUUGGAUAAAUUUUAAGGUAAAAAGUAAUUAUACGUUGUGGGUGAAAAAAAAAAAAAAUCUGAUUUGGGAGGCAUUAAAAUAGCAAGUUGUUGCUAUCGGAAACCUUUUUGCCUAAAACUAAAAGCAGAGGUUCAGAAUCCAGACUUAUGCAUGUGCUUACCAAAAACCUGUCCUGCCCAUAUCAGCCGCCGCAACUAUAUUUCUCUUUAACAGGCGCAACGGCAAGCUGGCAACUAAAGAUACAAAAAUUGAGGUCCGUUUUUAAGACGGGCUUUUUUUGUCCGACCCAUUUUUUAUGAAAGUCUCUGUGGAUUGAGCUAGGCGAACCAAACGACAUAGCGUCUGCUGCUGCACUUUUCGUUUACGGGCUGAUCCCUCAAAUUUUCGCUUAUGCCGCUAACUUUCCCGUACAAAAAUUCUUACAAGCACAAAGCAUGGUCAAACCAAGUGCGUACAUAGCACUGGCUACGCUUUUUGUGCACUUGUUCAUUACAUGGCUAGGAGUGUUCAAGUUCAACUGGGGCUUGUUAGGCGCAUCAUUAAUACUCAGUUUUUCUUGGUGGGUGAUUGUGUUGGCUCAGUUUGCUUACAUUGUAAUGAGCAAAAGGUGUAAGAAAACAUGGUCUGGUUUUAGCAUUCAGGCUUUUUUUGGUCUUUGGGGUUUCUUUAAAUUGUCAGCAGCAUCCGCUAUCAUGUUGUGUUUGGAGACUUGGUACUAUCAAGUUUUGGUGUUGAUUGCUGGGUUGCUUCCAAAUCCACAGAUUGCCUUGGAUUCUCUCUCUGUCUGGUACGUUGUUCUUUCUAGAUACACAUGAGUUUUUUUGUUUUUUUUUUUGUUUUGGUCUAUAAUCACCAGUGUCAUCAUAUGCUGUAUGCCCACUGAACUCUGACUACUGUCAGUUUUGACUAAUUGACUAUAUUUGCUUGUUUGAACCCUGUUUGGAGCUAGACGGUUCAAAUUGAGUUGUGUUUAGACCUUACCCUCAAUUAAUUAAUUUAAUUCUGUUUGCAGCAUGACGAUAAGUGGAUGGGUUUAUAUGAUUUCAGUUGGAUUUAACGCUGCUGCUAGGUUAGUUAUUUUAUACCCAUUCUUGUUCAAUUCUUAUGCAUAGUAUAAUUGCUCAAAAUUUUCAUUUGGCACCUGAUUGUUGUUAAUUUGAUAAAAGUGCAGUGUGAGAGUGAGCAAUGAGUUAGGAGCAGGACAUCCAAAAUCAGCAGAAUUUUCAGUUAUAGUGGUGAAACAUCUUCUUUCCUUAUUUCUGUAGUUGCAGCCAUCAUUGUGAUGGCACUCCGUAACUACCUCAGCUACGCUUUCACAGAAGUUGAAGUUGUUUCUAAAGCAGUGGCCGAUCUGAGUCCCUUAUUGGCUCUUACUCUAAUCCUCAACGGCAUUCAGCCUGUUUUAUCUGGUAAUUAAUAUUCAAUUAACAGCUAACAGAACAACUAAUAUAUUUGUAUGAAUUUUCAACUUAUUUUUAUCUUAUUAAAAAAAUAAAAAUGAAGGGGUGGCUGUUGGAUGUGGAUGGCAAGCAUUUGUGGCGUAUGUAAAUGUUGGGUGUUAUUACCUGGUUGGAGUCCCAGUAGGGGUUCUUCUUGGCUUCAAGUUCAAUCUGGGUACCAAGGUACCAAUAAUUU
rnacentral:lncRNA from 1 species